rnacentral:rRNA from 1 species
GGGUUGUGAGGUUAAGCGACCAAGCGUACACGGUGGAUGCCCUGGCAGUCAGAGGCGAUGAAGGACGUGCUAAUCUGCGAAAAGCGCCGGUAAGGUGAUAUGAACCGUUAUAACCGGCGAUGUCCGAAUGGGGAAACCCAGUGUGACUCGUCACACUAUCAUUAACUGAAUCCAUAGGUUAAUGAGGCGAACCGGGGGAACUGAAACAUCUAAGUACCCCGAGGAAAAGAAAUCAACCGAGAUUCCCCCAGUAGCGGCGAGCGAACGGGGAGCAGCCCAGAGCCUGAAUCAGCAUGUGUGUUAGUGGAAGCGUCUGGAAAGGCGCGCGAUACAGGGUGACAGCCCCGUACACAAAAGCGCAUGUGCUGUGAGCUCGAUGAGUAGGGCGGGACACGUGGUAUCCUGUCUGAAUAUGGGGGGACCAUCCUCCAAGGCUAAAUACUCCUGACUGACCGAUAGUGAACCAGUACCGUGAGGGAAAGGCGAAAAGAACCCCGGCGAGGGGAGUGAAACAGAACCUGAAACCGUGUACGUACAAGCAGUGGGAGCAUGAGUUUACUCAUGUGACUGCGUACCUUUUGUAUAAUGGGUCAGCGACUUAUAUUCUGUAGCAAGGUUAACCGUAUAGGGGAGCCGUAGGGAAACCGAGUCUUAACCGGGCGUUAAGUUGCAGGGUAUAGACCCGAAACCCGGUGAUCUAGCCAUGGGCAGGUUGAAGGUUGGGUAACACUAACUGGAGGACCGAACCGACUAAUGUUGAAAAAUUAGCGGAUGACCUGUGGCUGGGGGUGAAAGGCCAAUCAAACCGGGAGAUAGCUGGUUCUCCCCGAAAGCUAUUUAGGUAGCGCCUCGUGAACUCAUCUCCGGGGGUAGAGCACUGUUUCGGCCAGGGGGCCAUCCCGGCUUACCAACCCGAUGCAAACUGCGAAUACCGGAGAAUGUUAUCACGGGAGACACACGGCGGGUGCUAACGUCCGUCGUGAAGAGGGAAACAACCCAGACCGCCAGCUAAGGUCCCAAAGUCAUGGUUAAGUGGGAAACGAUGUGGGAAGGCCCAGACAGCCAGGAUGUUGGCUUAGAAGCAGCCAUCAUUUAAAGAAAGCGUAAUAGCUCACUGGUCGAGUCGGCCUGCGCGGAAGAUGUAACGGGGCUAAACCAUGCACCGAAGCUGCGGCAGCGACACUGUGUGUUGUUGGGUAGGGGAGCGUUCUGUAAGCCUGCGAAGGUGGCCUGUGAGGG